rnacentral:rRNA from 1 species
UACGUAGGGUGCGAGCGUUGUCCGGAAUUAUUGGGCGUAAAGAGCUCGUAGGCGGUGUGUCACGUCGGCCGUGAAAACCUGCAGCUUAACUGUGGGCGUGCGGUCGAUACGAGCAUCACUGGAGUUCGGCAGGGGAGACUGGAAUUCCUGGUGUAGCGGUGAAAUGCGCAGAUAUCAGGAGGUACACCGGUGGCGAAGGCGGGUCUCUGGGCCGAUACUGACGCUGAGGAGCGAAAGCGUGGGGAGCAAACAGG